GACGAACGCUGGCGGCGUGCCUAAUACAUGCAAGUCGAGCGGACAGAAGGGAGCUUGCUCCCGGAUGUUAGCGGCGGACGGGUGAGUAACACGUGGGUAACCUGCCUGUAAGACUGGGAUAACUCCGGGAAACCGGAGCUAAUACCGGAUAGUUCCUUGAACCGCAUGGUUCAAGGAUGAAAGACGGUUUCGGCUGUCACUUACAGAUGGACCCGCGGCGCAUUAGCUAGUUGGUGGGGUAAUGGCUCACCAAGGCGACGAUGCGUAGCCGACCUGAGAGGGUGAUCGGCCACACUGGGACUGAGACACGGCCCAGACUCCUACGGGAGGCAGCAGUAGGGAAUCUUCCGCAAUGGACGAAAGUCUGACGGAGCAACGCCGCGUGAGUGAUGAAGGUUUUCGGAUCGUAAAGCUCUGUUGUUAGGGAAGAACAAGUGCGAGAGUAACUGCUCGCAC
rnacentral:rRNA from 2 species